GAAAACGUUAUUACCAUCACGUUCAACAUUUAACUCGUCAAACUUUACGUCAAUAAAGAAAACUUUGCGUUCAUAGUAGGUAGUUCGAUAUUCCAACUGGUGCAAUUCUCUGUUUGCAACAGUUUGAGAUUUAUUUGCAUCUCAACUAGCAAAACAAGUGGUUUGACCCUACACUCAAUUAGAACGUUAAUAGAGAUCAGCAAUUUAGUAUGUUCUGCAACAGCCAAAAGCAUUAGCCAACUAAGUUAGCUAAAUUGCUAAACCAGUAAAAUGAAUUUGAAAAGUUAGUAAACGUUCUCAUACAAGGCUUAUUCCUAAAAUCGUUUGUCUAACUUAAACUUAAUCGGUCAGUUAAUUUUCGAAUCAAUGAUGCUCGUAAAAUUCAACUUAUAAUACACUUUCUGAACUGAAUAUUGUACUAAAUGUUUUUUUUUUUUCUUUUUAGGCGAAUUCGUGAGACAAAUUAGUGUUAGUCGGUGGUGAUUAGUGUUCGCGAAGAUUGCGAGGAAAUCCAGGAAUAAAAGAUCUUCGAUUAGCCCAGUUUACUCAGACAGAAAAGGGUACUGUCUCAAUAAUAGUAUACCGCAUAGCUGCACCAGGAAAUCCUUCAUGAAUAUUCUAGGGAGGACCUGUAGAUACCAGAGAACGUCAAAUAAAG